rnacentral:misc_RNA from 1 species
GAUGAAGAACGUAGCGAAAUGCGAUAAGUAAUGCGAAUUGCAGAAUUCAGUGAAUCAUCGAAUCUUUGAACGCACAUGGCGCCUUCCAGUAUCCUGGGAGGCAUGCCUGUCCGAGCGUCGUUUCAACCCUCGAGCCCCCGUGGCCCGGCGUUGGGGAUCUGCCACGGCAGGCCCCUAAAACCAGUGGCGGACCCGAAGGCCCUCUCCUUUGCGCAGUAGCAUCAGCCUCGCAUUGGGAUCCCUCGGCGUCCUGCCUCUAAACCCCCCACAAGUCCGCUCCGGCGGCACCAAGGUUGACCUCGGAUCAGGUAGGAAUACCCGCUGAACUUAAGCAUAUCAAUAAGCGGAGGA